ensembl:lncRNA
CACAAGUCAGAAUGGCUGCAAUUCCAAGCUUACGAAUUGUUUCCUUCCGGAACUCUUCGUCUCAUGCAUUUUCAGACCACAGUGGACCAUGGGGAACUGAAACGACAGAAAGCAAAGCCGUGGCUGAUGGGAGGCAGCUGUGUGUGUAAACAUUCAAAACAAGGAGGUUUUGAGCAACUCUAAACCUUGGCCCGGCUGGACUGAAAAGAGAAAGAGGGACGACGGCAAGAGGAAGCAUGAGAACAGAUCAUGCAGGAUCAGGUGCUGGAAUGACUCCAUUUACAUUGGUGGAAGAUAUCCCAGAAUCCUGCUGCUAGAGAAGGACCUAGGCUGCCUGGUACCAGGUAUUGAAGUGUGAAGUCAAGAUCACAGCAAGUACCAGGAGGCAACACCAAUGGAUCAAAGAAGAGAAUGUACUUAAAGGGACUAUCCGAGGUAUGGACAGAAUCAAGAGACUCAACAAGGAGGUUGAGCCACCCAAGGCUGUCAGCAGAAGAAACCUGGUAAUACCCUUAAAUAAGAAAGGAGAGGAAAAAAUGCUAUCUUAGCCCCGUGAAAGAGAGAACUGGGGAGAAGGGGCUUCCAGAUAGAAAUCUACAUUUGUUUAGGUAAACAGCCACUGCUGGAAAUGUGUCCCAAUGCAGGGAGAAAGCUGGAAGAAAUAUUCCAAUCUCUCUUCCCCUCCAGUCUGUCAAUGGUGCUCAUUGGCCAAACCUAACGAGAAGCCAGCAAGCAAGGGACCUCCAAUGGUGCAGUUUCCAGGGACCACCUCCCAGGGCAGAAAAGGACCCGAGAAAGGGGAGUGGAGCAUGCAGGGAUGUAAACAGAAUCAACACAGCGAGGCUGUCUCUAGUCGAUUGAGAUAAAUUAGGAAAUUACAAAGAGACUUGCUUCUAAUUUCUCUGAGACUUUUAAUUUCCCCCAGGGAUGAGAGAUUCUGUUUUCUCCAUGGCAACAAAGAAAGGGAGAGUUUGUUACUAGAACUUAAAUAUCUCUGAGAGAAUUUAAUAAAGGGUGGGGAUUCAUAUGGUUUCAAUUUGGGACUAUUUCUAUAUUGUGGCCAUUAUACAUGGGUUACUUUGCUGUUCUAGUGAACUUUGCUGCUCUAGAUUUUUCUAUCAGUUCAGUUGCUCAGUCAUGUCCAACUCUUUAUGACCCCAUGGACUGCAGCACGCCAGGCUUCCCUGUCCAUCACCAACUCCUGGAGCUUGCUCAAACUCAUGUCCAUUGAGUCAUUGAUGCCAUCCAACCAUCUAAUCCUCUGUCGUCCCCUUCCCCUCCUGCCCUCAAUCCUUCCCAGCAUCAGAGUCUUUUCUAAUGAGUCAAUUCUUUGCAUCAGGUAGCCAAAGUAUUGGAGCUUUAGCAUCAGUCCUUUCAAUGAAUAUUCAGGAUUUAUUUCCUUUAGGAUGGACUAGUUUGACCUCCUUACAGUCCAAGGGACUCUCAAGAGUCUUCUCCAACACCACAGUUCAAAACAUCAAUUCUUCAGUGCUCAGGUUUCUUUAUGGUCCAGCUCUCACAUUAUACAUGACUACUGGAAAACCAUAGCUUUGACUAGACAAACCUUUGUCAGUAAUGAGUCUGCAUUUUAACAUGCUGUCUUAGGUUUGUCAUAGGCUUGUCGUUAUUUGGUUGGGAAAUACAAUAGGAGGUCAACCUUUGGUAACUCUCUGAUUUGAGGCUAAAAUGUCAUAUUCUAUUUUUUUUGAGAUGUUUCUAGAAGCAACAGCUGCUGCUGCUACUGCUGCUAAGUCACUUCAGUCAUGUCCAACUCUGUGCGACCCCAUAGACGGCAGCCCACCAGGCUCCCCUAUCCCUGAGUUUCUCCAGGCAAGAACACUGGAGUGGGUUGCCAUUUCCUUCUCCAAUGCAUGAAAGUGAAAAGUGAAAAUGAAGUCGCUCAGUCGUGUCCAACUCUUAGCGACCCCAUGAGCUGCAGCCUACCAGGCUCUUCUGUCCAUGGGAUUUUCCAGGCAAGAGUACUGGAGUGGGGUGCCAUUGCCAACAGAACUGCUCAUUUCUCUAGUCCCAAGAGUUUAUAAAAAUUAGUGGUCAAUGUCAGGGCACAGCCUCAGAGAUUUCCCUUGAUAACUGUUGCUCUCCCCCACUGAAGGAGGUUGUCUCAUUCCUGGUUGACCAGAGCCAUGAGUGAAAACCAUAACCUUGAGCUCACUGGGCCAACAGAAAUGAAAGAUUUUCAAAAAGAGUUCUGGAGUCCAGCUUCUCCAUGUAGACUUCUCCCGAAAUAACACCUGACCAACUUGAAGAUCAGCACAUUCACAUUUUAGUACCUGAGAAUUUAACAGAUUCUUACAAUUGCUGUUAUCCAGGUGGCAGCUGCAAUGCAGUUAUUGUUGCCUGCCUGUGCACAAACUUUAGAUGGAUGUUCACGCAUGUUUAAACUGUCUCUAAACAGUCUGUUGGCCAAAAUGUAGAGGAUUUGCAAUUGACCAGUAUGCCACCGGAAAUAUGAGUCCUGAUGGUCUGCCAACAUUUUAUUUGACAUCUUUUAGUUAGAUCAAUAAAGAUCCAGCAAAAGAGACACAGAUGUAUAGAACGGACUUUUGGACUCUGAGGGAGAGGGAGGGGGUGGGAUGAUUUGAGAGAAUGGCAUUGUAACAUGUAUACUAUCAGGUAAGAAAUGAAUCAUCAGUCUAUGUUCAAUACAGGAUACAGGAUGCCUGGGGCUGGUGCACGGGGAAGAUCCAGAGAGAUAAUAUGGGGUGGGAGGUGGGAGGGGGCUUCAGGAUUGGGAACUCAUGUACACCUGUGGCAGAUUCAUGUCAAUGUAUGGCAAAACCAAUACAGUAUUGUAAAGCAAAAUAAAGUAAAAAUAAAAAAAAAUUAAUAAAGAUCCAGAAUCAAAACCUAUAGGAUAAGCAUCAGCAGCUUGAAAGAAAAUCACAGAUGCAAUAUUAGAGCCCUCUUAAGAAUAGGUGCUGAUUCCCCAGAGAAUGAUAGAGUGUGAAAAUACUCUGACAUCAACGCUCACUGAAAAUAAUUCAGAGGACUUGAAUUCUAUGGGAAAAAAUUAGGGACCCCUCAAUCAGUGUUUACAAAUUUAAGUCAGAUUUAUUCAGAUAAACUUUACAUCUUAUAAAAUAUACCCGUUUUAGGUAUGCAAAUCUAUGAGUUAAUAAAAAUGUAUAAUGUCAUAU